GAAUCAUGUCGCUUUAAGAAAAAAUCGCGGCCAGCGCCUAGCGGUCAUGCCGCGCCUCUCCGGCGAGCAGCGCACACACUCCGCCGGGCUCCCGCGCGAGCUGUGCUGCAGUGUGUGCGCGUGCAGCACUGCAGAGCCCGCGCCCGGAGCCGCACGCACCGCGCGGGCAGCCGCGCUGCGGGCCCAAACAGAAGAGCACAUAGACACAGCAAGGAGACAGGUCCAUUCUGUUAAUACAGCAAGGAGAGCUGUGAAAAACACCCAGGUAACUAAAUGUUCUACAUUGUAUAACAGUGUGUCCUCAGAGUCAGUUUAAUAUAUUCAUGCACUCAGUGAAGAAAAUAACAGAA
rnacentral:lncRNA from 1 species